UUUUUAAAGGUAGAUAUAGUGAAUAAUUUGGUGAGGUAAAAUAGUCCCACUCUUUAUGUCCUAUUUAAUUCAUAAAAUAACCUUCAUUGUUAAACUUCCUUAAUAAACCAUGUGAGUGACUCUCUCUCUCCCCCAUUUCAAUCUUCUUGGAAUAUCAUCUCUCAGCAGAUUUUCUUCCUCUGUAAACACCAAUGAUUGAUUCUCUCAUUCCAUUUCAAAAAGAAACAAAAUGGGCACAAAAUAUGAUUGUUCUCUAACAUGUUCAAAAAGUUAAUAAUCUAUGACAAAACUAUAUUUCCCCAAAAAAAAAAAAUUGUAAAUAAGUGAGUAAACUUAUUUUAAAUCAAAUUCUUACUUUUUUAAUUGCCUUGUUUUUUGUUUGUAAACCUUGUAGAUUUAAAGAGUUUGUGAUGGAGAAAGAAAACAAGAGCAAAACCAGAGGCGGGUUUAAUUAGAUAGGUUUUAAAUCUCUUACACAUUUUAAAAUAAAAAGGAUAAAAUUAUAAAUGCAAAGCAGUAGGGGUUUUAAAAGAGAAAAGAACGGGUGCCAGUAGGGUCAAUCUUUACCCAGAGACAGGGUGGACCAAUGGGCCUUGUCAAAUCAGGGUCAAAAACUUCAAGCCCACAGCCGGAGAGCACGUGGUAGUUCCGGCACGCGAAUGGGUCCCAAAAGCCAAGCUGUCAAUCUCCUAUGAGCAAUGUUUUUUUAAAUUUAAAAAAAUAGGCCCUCAAACGGCCGUAAGAAAAUCCGUUAAACCACCCAGAACGAGGCAGUAAUUUGUCCCAUGCGCUGGCUCUGGCUCCGUCUAAUACAGGUCAAAAGGCCGUCAUGGACUUGAUUUGACUCACCCCCACGUUGUUAUCAUCAACCAUCCCUAACACGCAGUGAUGCAGACACGCAGGUCCACAUUUUUUAUAUUAUUAGAAAGAGACAAAAGUGUUUAAUCCUCCAAAAAGCAAGAAUUGGGGUUUAAUUUUAGCAUUAUUGAAGCUAAUAACGGACUAUUAUUGAAAGUAUUAAUUGUCUAGUAAUAAAGUAAUGAUGCUCCUAGUAAUAGUGGCCGUCUCUAUUUACACUCCAUCUCUUAUCUCUGUAUUUUCUGUUGUCUUUGCUUACUUCAUUUGUCUUUAAAAUCCCAGUUUAAGCAAAACUAGAAUCUCAAAUCAAAAGCGAAAGUGAAGUGAGUGUUUGGCUACGUAGAAAGUGGAGUCAUAAAAAAUUUCCAGAUAUAGCUCAGGGGAGCAUUUGCUUAAUUGAUUUAUUCAGCUGACAAAAUUUUAACUGCUUGAUUUGAGUUUUGCAGGAUACGCUUUGAUCUGCCUGGCUCCCUGGAUGCCAAGUAAGAAGCUUGUCGACAUGUGUCGAUUUCUCAUUAGUUGGCAUCAGAGGAGCCAUGCAGAUGCACCAAUGCCCGCCCUCCGAUUAAUCAGAUGAAAGGUUGGUACGAUAGAGCUAAUAGUCUUUUGAUAUAAUUUCUAUGGAAAGUGUUCGCAUGUUGUGAAAUUCAGAUCAUUUGACGCUAUACAAUGAAGCAUAGAUGCUAAAACUACGGUUUAUAGCAUUAAAUCUGAAUAUUUCUAACGUGUAAACAUCCACACUUGAGAAUUAUUGGUUCAUCUGGACUGAUUGCUCCUCCACGCUAUGAAUUCCAAUCUCUCCGAAUUUAGCUAACUCUGUUUCUCAGCGUCCCUGUAUGUGGCUCGCUGUGUAUGUGUAUAUGUAUAUUUGUUUUUACAGGAUGGAGCAACUGUAGGGGUCAUAGUCUCUAACCACGCAAACAUCGUAAUGAGGCAGUGGCGCCGCAACAUGAUAAUUAGGCCACACCACUGGCUCCGGAUUGGCCUCAAUUUUUUCAUCAUCCAUGCUCUGUUCACCAGCACCAGCACCAGCACCAGCAGCGCCGACGCUCACCACCUCCGCAUAACCCACCUUCUUUCUUAACGAAGUCGUGAGCGCAACCGCAUCUACCCCGUCUCCCGUCACCUCUAUUUGGCUCAUGUCGUCUCCUUUCAAUGCCACUGAUUCCACACCUAAGCAUGAAGAAAUGAACCAUGACAUAAUCAUUGCGGAUUUCAAUUAUAUGAAAACUAAGUAAUAGUUAAUUAAUGCGGACUCGUGCAUAAUUGGUCGCAAUUUAACACUGGAUUGCUACUACCAAUGUACAAGUUUGUAAAAAGAUGUCAGCAUUAGAAAACGAUUAUUUUACCUGAAAAUCCAACUGCGACCUUUAGGGCCUUCGAGCGGGACUUGUGCUUAUUCAUAUAAACUUUGAUCACCAUCUUUUGCUGCAACAAUUAAACCAAAGUUAUAAAGAACAGCAAAUAUUGACUAAACUUUAACACGCAACAAACACUUAUGAACACAAUAAUUUUUGAUAUUUUAACUUUGUACACAUAAUUAGUUUAAUUAUCACAGGGUUUUAUACCUUCAUGGUCUUGCUCUGUUGGAAAUUGUUUUGAUUCUUGAUUUCUUUAGGAGGUUUGAAGGCUUGGAGCUGUGUUGGGCUGUUGGCUAUUAUUGUGCAUUUAUAUAGCGCCUCUUGUGGUUCUAGUUCAGAAGUCGUAUAGAGGGCAAUUUCUUGGUGAUCUCAAAGAUAAUGACAACUUAAAUUCAUUGUACCUUCAUUCCAACUAUUCAAAAUUAAAAGCAUACACUUUGCUUUCUAGAAAUCAAAUUUUUAUUCAACCUAAUAAUAACAUGAAGAAUUUUUUCCCAUAAUAAAAACAUCAUUAAUUGUAGUAGGUUCUUCAGAAUUAUAUAAAUUUUCGUUGUUAAAUUGGGACUGGAUCUGCACAACAUUAUUAUAUAGCCAAAUGGAUUUAAGACUAUUGAUAAAUUUCUUUCGUUUAAGAUUCAUUAUGAUAUCUACCAAUUAAAAAACUGAAGUGGCAAUGUUCCUAUUUAAUUAAAUAAGUAGGAAAUGAAUGAGACCAGAAAUGUUCACAUUAUGACUUUGACUAUGCAAUGGAAAACGAAGGCAUGUGGAAAGACUAACUAGUGAACUUAGCAAUUAGUAUUAAAUUAUGACCACCAAAUAUGAUAAUGAACAAACAAAAGGUCGAUGACGUUUGACAUGUUAACCAUCCCUAAUUUGUCUUCAUUCAUUUAGCUUUACAGUCUCAAAGUCAUUGUAAAACUAAUUUUGUAUUUGGCAAAAGUGGGUGAAAUAGUCCAAGUAGUUUUUUUUUUUUUUAAAAAAAAGAUAUUAUCAUUUUAUCACUUAAUUUUUUUAAUAUGUUACUUUAUCAUUAAAAUUUUUAAGCAAUUAUUUUUUCCACUUAAUAUUUUAAUUUUUAUCGUUAAAAAUAAUAGAACUUUUAACAAAACUUUGAUUAAAAAUCUGUUUUAUCCCUAAGAUCUGUAAAUGCUAUUUAAUCCUCUAAAAUAAAAUAAUAUAAAAUUAAUUAUAGAUAGAGUAAUAAUGCUUAUAUUAGUUAAUUAGUUUAUAUAUCUAAAAUAAUUAAUUGAUAAAAUUAAAAAUAUUUUAAUACUUUUGGCUUAAUAGAUUGAAGUUCCUGAAGUACAGCUGUGAUAUCAAUAGUUUCUUCACAGAUAAUAGAUUGGUGAUAAAAUGAUAAAAGCUAAAAUAUUAGGUGAGAAAAAGUAAUUAUUAUAAAAUUUUGAUGGUAAAGUGAUAUUUAAAAAAAAGGUAAUAAAAUGAUAAUAUUUCUUUUGAGAAAGAUUUUCGAAGGUUAUGUGGCAUGACUCUUGUCGCCUUCCAAAUUAUAACUUUUCUCAACUUUAAAAUAGUUUAUUGUUUUGUGGUGUAAGUUUUAUUUGCUAAUAAAUUCCUCUUGAAUUUGGUGCAUUUUUUGAGAAUAAAAUUACUUCAACAAUCAAGAGCGAGAACGAAUGGCGUAAUCUCAAAAAAUUUCGCCUAAUUUCAGCAUUAUCGAGCCAAUAAUGAACCCUUAAUUCAGAGAUUAUGAACAAUCAUUAAGACUGUUUUAAUAAGUUCUUUGCUGCAAUAAAAAAAAAAAAGAGAUUCUCAAUUUUUUCUACUGAAAUUAUAAAAUACAAUUUAUCCCCCUACUGCAAUUAGUAAGAGAUUCUCAAUUUUUUCUACUGAAAUUAACUGUUUUAAUAAGUUCUUUGCUGCAAUAAAAAAAAAAAAGAGAUUCUCAAUUUUUUCUACUGAAAUUAUAAAAUACAAUUUAUCCCCCUACUGCAAUUAGUAAAUAUCACUUAUCUGUAGUUUAAUAAUCAAUAAUCUUCCUGACAUCAUAACUUUAUAGUGUUAUCUUUAUUUUCAAAUACACUUUUAUUCAUAUUUAUUAUUAAUUAAAUAAAUUGUAUGAACAAAAAUUAAAAUACUAAAAAAAGAAUAUAAGUUUUGAUGUGAAAAAAAUUAAUAAUAAGAUAUUUUUAAGUAUCUUUACUUAUAAUUAAUAUAUAUUUUAUAUUUAUAAGAUAAAAUAUUAAGUAAAUGACUCAUUUACCGAUUUACACUUCUUUUCCUUUAAAUUAUUUUAUGCCAAAAGAGUUAUUAGCUAUUAUAAAAAUAAUAUGGAGUAAGUAAUGUAUAGUAAUCUAAAUAGAGGAAAGCUAACAAACGAGGGUGGACAUUGAUUUGGUUCGGUUUCGGGACAAACUCUCAAUUUUGCCUGAGGGAAAUGGAGGACAUGGUCUUAGCCCCGACUUUAGUGUUGCUGGCCCGCGGGCCUCUGGUUCAAAGAAGUACUUUAAAUUAGUGAAUGGAAGCAAGUAUCGUAAGCAGUACUCUGCUCGCUAUCUCACUUUCAUACGGUUUCUUUCGUUAGGCUUUACAGUGUUCUCCCGCUUAUUCUUUGUUUCUUUUAUUUACUUUUGCUAAUUUUUUCUUGUUGGCUAUUUCUUUCUUGAGUUAGAGAGUUUGGUUUAUAUACCCCGAAUAUUUUUUUUUAUUUUUAAUUUACAAGUAAGGGAGUCAUGCUUAGCUCGCACACCCCAUGGGGGGUUUUUAAUUUAAAAAAUCCUCCAAUAUUAUUAGUGUAGAUGGAGCACACGUUUGUUUUUUUGUUUUUUAAAGAGAUUUUCUUUCAAAAAAGGUAGGGGAAUAGGAAAGUGGAUAAGCAUAAUUUUUUAUACCUAAUCAAAUUUAAACAGCCAAGUAAAUAAAAUUGAUUGAUAACUAAUUGCUCGAAUGUCCUUGGGAGUAAUCUUCUUUCAAAGAGACCUAAAAUUAAAACCAAGAGAGUAAAGAUAUUUUUGCAGGAUUUAGAUAAUCCACUAUAUUUCAAUAAGCUAGAAAAUUUUAACAAAUUUUCACAUCACCUUGCUGAUCUCUACUUUCUCCCACAGUAAUUAAAAAAAGUUUUUUUUUUUUAAUAGUAAAUCAAUUAUUUAUAUAUUCACACAACAAAUUACAAUAUCAAUACAGUAUUAAACUGCAUGCUUCUCCCCUGGAAACGCAACCAAUUAAUCAACUUGCUUCAUCAGAAUUUCAAUUCCCUUUCUUUCUUUUUGUUCGUCUAUCAUCUCCAACCCCAAGGUCACACUAUAACUACCCCAAGUGCAGUGCAAAUUUUAAUUUCUCAAAUCCUCUGUGUCAUGUCUCUGUUUCUCUUCUCACAUGAUGGAGCAGGGGUCAGCGUAUCGAUCAGCAGAAACCACAUGGUAAUCAUAGUGAGGCACCCACCCGCCGUAAUAGGGAGGCAAGUAUUGAGGUGGUUGUGGUUUGACCUCAGGAUUCUUUGGUUUGUUUUCAUCUUUCUUCUCACCGGCGGGACCAACGCUCACCAGCUCUGCAUAUCCGACCUUCUUUCUCAGCAAACUAGUCAGCAAAACAGGGUCCAUCCCAUCUCCAGUCACCUCUAUCUGGCUCUUGUCGUCUCCUUUCAACGACGCCGAUUCCACUCCUGUAAUAAACAAUUAUAUAUUUAGUACCCAGAUACACUGUAUGUUUGCGACUGUUAUGCUUCUGCUUAAUAUAAAAU
rnacentral:lncRNA from 1 species